rnacentral:rRNA from 1 species
UACGUAGGGCGCAAGCGUUGUCCGGAAUUAUUGGGCGUAAAGAGCUCGUAGGCGGCUUGUCACGUCGAUUGUGAAAGCCCGAGGCUUAACCUCGGGUCUGCAGUCGAUACGGGCUAGCUAGAGUGUGGUAGGGGAGAUCGGAAUUCCUGGUGUAGCGGUGAAAUGCGCAGAUAUCAGGAGGAACACCGGUGGCGAAGGCGGGUCUCUGGGCCAUAACUGACGCUGAGGAGCGAAAGCGUGGGGAGCGAACAGG